AUUGAACGCUGGCGGCAGGCUUAACACAUGCAAGUCGAGCGAGCGGCGGACGGGUGAGUAAUGUCUGGGAACCUGCCUUAUGGAGGGGGAUAACUACUGGAAACGGUAGCUAAUACCGCAUACCAUCAGAUUUUCCCAGAUUGGAUUAGCUAGUAGGUGGGGUAAUGGCUCACCACGGAGACGAUCCCUAGCUGGUCUGAGAGGGUGACCGGCCACACUGGAACUGAGACACGGUCCAGACUCAUACGGGAGGCAGCAGUGGGGAAUAUUGCACAAUGGGCGCAAGCCUGAUGCAGCCAUGCCGCGUGUGUGAAGAAGGCCUUCGGGUUGUAAAGCACUUUCAGCGAGGAGGCGUUACUCGCAGAAGAAGCACCGGCUAACUCCGUGCCAGCAGCCGCGGUAAUUC
rnacentral:rRNA from 1 species